GACGAACGCUGGCGGCGUGCUUAACACAUGCAAGUCGAACGGAAAGGCCCUGCUUUUGUGGGGUGCUCGAGUGGCGAACGGGUGAGUAACACGUGAGUAACCUGCCCUUGACUUUGGGAUAACUUCAGGAAACUGGGGCUAAUACCGGAUAGGAGCUCCUGCUGCAUGGUGGGGGUUGGAAAGUUUCGGCGGUUGGGGAUGGACUCGCGGCUUAUCAGCUUGUUGGUGAGGUAGUGGCUUACCAAGGCUUUGACGGGUAGCCGGCCUGAGAGGGUGACCGGCCACAGAGGGACUGAGAUACGGCCCAUAGUCCUACGGGAGGCAGCAGUGGGGAAUAGUGCGCGAUGGGCGGAAUCCGGAUGGAGGAACGCCGCGUGCGGGAUGACGGCCGUCGGGUUGUAAACCGCGUUCGCCUGUGACGAAGCGUGAGUGACGGUAAUGGGUAAAGAAGCACCGGCUAACUACGUG
rnacentral:rRNA from 1 species